rnacentral:misc_RNA from 1 species
UACGGAGGGUGCGAGCGUUAAUCGGAAUUACUGGGCGUAAAGCGCACGCAGGCGGUCUGUCAAGUCGGAUGUGAAGUCCCCGGGCUCAACCUGGGAACUGCAUCCGAAACUGGCAGGCUAGAGUCUUGUAGAGGUGAGUGGAAUUCCAAGUGUAGAGGUGAAAUUCGUAGAUAUUUGGAGGAACACCAGUGGCGAAGGCGGCUCACUGGCUCGAUACUGACGCUGAGGUACGAAAGUGUGGGGAGCAAACAGG